rnacentral:rRNA from 1 species
CGCAUCUGUGCAUGCAGCAUAUCAAUAACGGAGGAAAAGAAACUAACAAGGAUUCCCUUAGUAACGGCGAGUGAAGCGGGAAGAGCUCAAAUUUGAAAUCUUCAAGGUUUUACCUUGACGAAUUGUAGUUUAAAGAAGUGUUUUCUGUUGAAGUUUUGGUAAAAGUUCUUUGGAAUAGGACAUCAUAGAGGGUGAGAAUCCCGUAUUUGACCAUUAUUUUCAGCUGUGUGAUACACUUUCAAAGAGUCGGAUUGUUUGGGAAUGCAGUCCAAAAUGGGUGGUAAAUUUCAUCUAAAGCUAAAUAUUGGCGAGAGACCGAUAGGCGAACAAGUACCGUGAGGGAAAGAUGAAAAGAACUUUGAAAAGAGAGUUAAACAGUACGUGAAAUUGUCAAAAGGGAAGCGUUUGACACCAGUGUUGUUUUCUCGAAAAUCAAUUAAAAAGAGUUUGAUUUUGUUGUGUAUUGACCUUAACAGCUUGCAUUUCAAUUUUCUUGUUUUUUUUAAUGCACUUUUCGUUUAACAAGUCAACAUCAGUUUCUUUUGUUGUAAAAAGGUCAUUGGAAGGUGGCUUUCUUUUCGGAGAAAGUGUUUAUAGCCUUUGACUCCUGCAAUCGGAGAGACUGAGGUCUGCAGCGUAGAUCCUUCGGGGUUAGAUACAUUUGUGCUAAGUUAUAGCUUUUUAUAGACAACUUGUUGACUAUGAUUAGUCUUGUAGCUUACUCGCUUAUGCUAUUUUACCUACGCUUAGGAUGUUGAAGACUCUACAGAGAUA